rnacentral:rRNA from 1 species
CUACGUGCCAGCAGCCGCGGUAAUACGGGGGGUGCGAGCGUUAAUCGGAAUAACUGGGCGUAAAGGGCACGCAGGCGGUGACUUAAGUGAGAUGUGAAAGCCCCGAGCUUAACUUGGGAAUUGCAUUUCAUACUGGGUCGCUAGAGUACUUUAGGGAGGGGUAGAAUUCCACGUGUAGCGGUGAAAUGCGUAGAGAUGUGGAGGAAUACCGAAGGCGAAGGCAGCCCCUUGGGAAUGUACUGACGCUCAUGUGCGAAAGCGUGGGGAGCAAACAGGAUUAGAUACCCUGGUAGUCCACGCUGUAAACGAUGUCGACUUGGAGGUUGUGCCCUUGAGGCGUGGCUUCCGGAGCUAACGCGUUAAGUCAACCGCCUGGGGAGUACGGCCGCAAGGUUAAAACUCAAAUGAAUUGACGGGGGCCCGCACAAGCGGUGGAGCAUGUGGUUUAAUUCGAUGCAACGCGAAGAACCUUACCUACUCUUGACAUCCAGAGAAUUCGCUGGAGAUA